GAGGGUAUAGCUCAGUGGUAGAGCACAUGCCUAGCAUGCAUGAGGUCCUGAGUUCAAUCCCUAGUACCUCCA
rnacentral:tRNA from 1 species